AAUGGAGUUGCAACAGCCAGCAGAAGCCCUGCAUCAUUACCUGGCUCACAGUGUACAGGCACAACCCAUAUCGCUGCUCCAGAGACAUGCAGUUCAGCGGAGAGACAGCAGACAUUCGACUCUAUAACUGCACCACUAGGAAGGAAAUCAAAGUCAGACAUCUAUCUACACCAGUUACCAUUGAGUUUCAGAGAAAA